rnacentral:rRNA from 1 species
UACGGGGGGGGCAAGCGUUGUUCGGAAUUACUGGGCGUAAAGGGCUCGUAGGCGGCCAACUAAGUCAGACGUGAAAUCCCUCGGCUUAACCGGGGAACUGCGUCUGAUACUGGAUGGCUUGAGUUUGGGAGAGGGAUGCGGAAUUCCAGGUGUAGCGGUGAAAUGCGUAGAGAUCAUGAGGAAGACCAGUGGCGAAGGUGGGUCUCUGGACAGUUCCUGACACUGAGACACGAAGGCCAGGGGAGCAAACGGG